rnacentral:lncRNA from 1 species
GCUGAAUUGGUUUGAUCCAGAGAGGCAGUUAUGCAUAAGAGCAACCACUCUCUAUUGAAUUAGGAGAUCUCUCAUGCAACACAUCUCACCAAUUACAAGUCCCCAUUAGCCUCCACAAUGGCUGGAGAAGAGUGGAUCAUCACAAAUAGUGUGACAACUGUGAUGCUAUCCCACUGUCAAUGCAAGAGAGAUCAAUAUGCACAAGAAAGUUCAGUUCACAAGUCCAUCAAAAGCAGACCGCAGUUGCAUGAAGGAGCUGGCAAGUGAAGUCGAGGACCAUUAAUUAACCCAGGAGCAGAGUGAGGGGUUUCCUGUGGAAGCCAGAGGAGGGCCUCAGAUCCCCUGUAACUUGAGUCCCAGAUGCAAAUCCUUGAAGAAGAGAGAACUCAUGCUGAGCCACUUGUUUCGCAUCCCAAAAAGGACUCAGGAGGACUGUUCAUCUAUUUAGUGACAGAAUUUUCCAUGCUCAAUAAAUUCUGCUGCUUG